UACGAAGGGUGCAAACGUUGCUCGGAAUUAUUGGGCGUAAAGCGCGCGUAGGCGGCCUUGCAAGUCGGAUGUGAAAUCUUAUGGCUUAACCAUAAAAGUGCAUCCGAAACUGCAGUGCUUGAGUACUUAAGAGGAUCGCGGAAUUCCCGGUGUAGAGGUGAAAUUCGUAGAUAUCGGGAGGAACACCAGUGGCGAAGGCGGCGAUCUGGGAAGAUACUGACGCUGAGGUGCGAAAGCGUGGGGAGCAAACAGG
rnacentral:rRNA from 1 species